rnacentral:rRNA from 1 species
CUACGGGGUGCAGCAGUAGGGAAUCUUCGGCAAUGGGCGAAAGCCUGACCGAGCAAUGCCGCGUGAGGGAUGAAGGCCUUCGGGUUGUAAACCUCUGUCAUCGGGGAAGAAAGAGCGAGGCAGGAAAUGGCCGCGCUUUGACGGUACCCGAGGAGGAAGUCACGGCGAAUUACGUGCCAGCAGCCGCGGUAAUACGUAAGUGGCGAACGAUGUCCGGAAUCACUGGGUGUAAAGCGCAUGUAGGCGGCUUGGUAAGUCUGAGGUGAAAUCCACGGGCCUAACCCGUGAACUGCCUUGGAAACUGCCGAGCUCGAGGGCCGGAGGGGAAAGUGGAAUUUCGGGUGUAGCGGUGAAAUGCGUAGAUAUCCGAGAGAACACCGAUGUCGAAGGCAGCUUUCUGGCCGGUUCCUGACGCUGAGAUGCGAAAGCUAGGGGAGCGAACGGGAUUAGAUACCCUGGUAGUC